rnacentral:rRNA from 1 species
GACGAACGCUGGCGGCGUGCUUAACACAUGCAAGUCGAACGGAAAGGCCCUGCUUUUGUGGGGUGCUCGAGUGGCGAACGGGUGAGUAACACGUGAGUAACCUGCCCUUGACUUUGGUAUAACUUCAGGAAACUGGGGCUAAUACCGGAUAGGAGCUCCUGCUGCAUGGUGGGGGUUGGAACGUUUCGGCUGUUGGGGAUGGACUCGCGGCUUAUCAGCUUGUUGGUGGGGUAGUGGCUUACCAAGGCUUUGAAGGAUAGCCGGCCUGAGAGGGUGACCGGGCACAUGGGGACUGAGAUACGGCCCAGACUCCUACGGGAGGCAGCAGGGGGGAAUAUUGCACAAUGGGCGGAAGCCUGAUGAAGCAACGCCGCGUGCGGGAUGACGGCCUUCGGGGUGUAAACCGCUGUCGCCUGUGACGAAGCGUGAGUGACGGUAAUGGGUAAAGAAGCACCGGCUAACUACGUG